AUGGACCUGGACCCCGCCGUCAUCAUCCCCGCCAUCCUCUUCACCGUCGUUGCCAUUUAUUUCGCUACGUCGCUCCUCAGCAGGAAGCCCGACGCCUCCUCCUCGUCUGCCGGGAGCAAGAAGUCCAAACUCGGGUACAGAGACGACCUUCCUCCGCAAGGAGCUCUGGAAGAAGAGCCCGAAGCCUCCCUGCGACCAGAGCCCCCAGCUCCGGCUGUGGAGGACAUAGGAGCCGCCGAGAAGAUCCAGGCUGUCCCAGAACCACAACAUGUCCCUGAACCAGUGAAGAUACCAGAAGCUGAGCCAGAAGCAGCAGAAGAUCCAGAGGACAGAGAAGCAGUCACAGCACCAGAACCUGUGGCACAACCAAAAAAAGUGCCAGAGACAAGAACAGAACGACCACCGGCCCCAGAAGCAGUCCCUGAACCAACAAAAGAGCCAAAGUCUGUUCCAGAACCAGUCACAGUAUCAGAACUUGUCUCUGAAGCUGUGUCAGGCCCAGAACCUGUUCUUGAACCAGAUGAAGCACAAGAAGCAGCACCAGUGUCUGAACCCAUACCAGGCUUGGUAUCAGGCCCAGAACAAGCUGCAGAACCUACCCCAGAGUCCAAACCUGUAGCAGAGCCCUUAUCAGAACCAGCCAGGUCCCCUGAACUCGUAUCUGAACCCAAAACUGUCCCAGAACCUGUUACUGAUCCAGAGCCUGUGCUCGUGUCUGAAGUGGCAGCCCAGAAGCCCGCGACUGAACCUGAAGAACUGCUUGAGCAGAUGCCCGGACCCAAUGAAGGUCUGACAGAACCAUCGCGUGAGCGGGAACCCGAACCAGAGACCGUCCUGGAUGACGAUGUGGCUGCAGCUGCUGAUGUGCUGAACUUCACCCCGGGAAUGAAACAGAGUAAGGUGGCAGUGCUGAUGACCCAGGAGGACAUGGAGGAGGAGCAGAGGAUAGAGCUCACGUCUGAUUUUACCUCUCUGUAAUCAGCCUCAGCAGACUCGUGCUAGUGUGCUAGGAAGGAGAUGCUGAUCCGUGAGGAUGAGGAGCGCUGAAGAGAUGAAGAUCAGACCCUGCAGAAAGUCCUGCCUGCUUUCUUCUCUUGUUGUUGAGUUUUGAGGUUUGAGCUGCUUGUGAAUAGCAAACGUCUUCACACCAAAGUGCCUUCAGGAGUUUCUUCUGUCUGCUUUUCGUGUCCAGCCUUUCUGAAGCAAACAAAUUAAUUAUGUGAGUGAAUGUUAAUGAAGUUAACCUCAGUAUAACCUAGUUCUCACUGCUGGUUUCAAAUGAAAAAAGAAAAUUAGACGACAAGCUGCAAUAAAACGUUCCUGCUAGCUUCAGUGUUCAGUUGUGAUUUUAAAUGUUAACCAUGAAAUAAAAGUGUGAAACAUGUUGUUGAUUCUUUCUGAUCUUUGUUUUGUAAAUUCUGGAUUAUUAAAAAUACUUUUGCCCAUUCUCAGUGUUUGUUUACUCUUUCCUGUUUCCUGUUUUUGCUUCAAAGUUUAGGUGGAGCUGACAGAGACAACAGCACCAUCAGGUGAUUGUUUAGAGGCAACACAUGCAAAACUAAAAGUGUAACCACAGACGACAUAAAAAAUGAAUGUCCCUCCAAAAAUGGCAAACCUGCAUUAAGACCUCCUCUGGCUGUAAGAGGUCAGGAGGUGAGCCUGCUGCUCAGCUGAUCUCUGAGCUCAGCAAGCCGGUCGGGUCGAUGGUCUCGGUCUCUGGUUUUAGGUUGUAUUCAAUAAAAAAUGACGUUUAUUUUCCCGUGAGAGUAGCAAAGGAGCUGGAAGCAGGAGGAGCUGGCUUUUGUUCCUCGCUCUCUCUCACUGAGAAUUUAGGAUCAAAAGUGACGAGUGACAAGUCUGGUUUCAAAAUAUCAAGAUGCAGAUGACGGAAAUGCUCCUGUUUUAUCUCAGGCUGAAGACCUAACACAGACGAGGGGCAGACGAAAUAAUGAGAGAGAAGUAAAGACAAGAAACGUGAUGACAAAAAGCACUCGUGAAUCAAUUGUAGAUGGUUCAGCACCGUCAGCUUACAGCCACUGCCGGGAUUCCUCAGUGGAAACACUUUCAGAGACAUUUGCAGUGCUAGAGUAUUUGGACUGGUUUCAUUUAGCUGGAUGUGUGUUGGAGUUAAAACUGCUGAUUAAUGAAGAAAAUCAGAUUUUGAUCCACAUGCAGUAACAUCUGGAAGAUUCUGAUUGGCAGCCUCAUUUUUCAGCCUGACAAUGAUCCCAAACACACUGCCAGUGCAGUGAAAGCAUGCCAACACACAGUGGAGCAUCCCUGAAGCAGUGUGGGGACAUCCUGAGGCAGAAACAUCCAAAGAAGAGCUCUGAACGUCCUUCAAGAAGCCUGGAGAAGAGAUCCUCAGAGAGCUGAAGGAUGAAGGUGCUCACACCAAACAUUCAUUGUCAAGCUCGUUGGCUGAAGGCUUCAGUGCAGUUCUGUCUAAUGAUGUGCUACCUGGUUGCUAGCUGCAGGCAGAGCUAUGUAAGGCUCAUAUCAACACAUUACAGAUGGUGAGACUGUUAGCUGUUUGCAAUAAUCUGGUUCAUUUAUAUGAAUUAAUUCGGUGAACAUCCAAAUCCACAAUCUGAAAACACCUGAGCGAGGAUCAACAAUAAAAACGAUCCCGGAGGCUAAACUGUUAACUGUAUGUGUGUGUGUGUGUGUGUGUGUGUUGACAUCCCAGGGUACAACAGGAGCAGCUGGCAGCCAUCUUCCAGCUGCUGAAGGCGAACCAGGAGGUGACGGAGGCCGACAUAGAGGAGCAGCUGAAGCUUUACUCCCUCUGAAACACGAGAGACGCCAUCGAUCUGUCCACUCAGGAAGUCUAUCUCCAUGACCGCCAUCAUCAACAUCGUGUCCAAAUCACCACAGCUGGAUGUCACAUGCUUGUUUAUUAAAAAGUUGGAUUUCUUGUCCUGUUCUGAUGUUCGACGCUCAGAGUGACUCCAGACUGCAGCUCGCCAUCUGUCAGACUCUUAAUAGUGACAUCACUUCCUGCCAAAGUAAUGCUAGGCUAAAUUUUAGUAGCAGUUUGAAGAAGGCACUAAAUGAAGCUGGCAGGCUUCAGAUUCAUAUUCAUGGCAGACACGUGAGCGCGGCGGCAUCCUCGAGACGUUUCCCCUCAAACCGCUUUGUUGGCUCUCGUCUGAGAGCUUCUGACGUCACCAAAGACCAAAAAAAGAAACAGUGUGUGGGAUGAUUUCAGCCUCAAAGCUCACUGAACUCUUUUAUACAUUAAUCUCUGUUAGUCAAAAAAAAAAACAUUUCAGUGCUCAUUAACAAACAUUUUUCAAAUAUUUGCUGUAAAUAUUGUUAUUUUAAAAUAUAUUAAUGUAACUUUUUUGCAUGAAUUUUGUCAUGAAAACAACUUUUUUCCCCUCCACCGUUCAUUUUUUAUUUAUUUUAUAGUUCAUUUAAAGCAUUUAUAGUAUUUUUAAUUAGUUUUCACAAUAAUAAUAAAAAUGUCCCCAAGUGUCCCCCGAGCUGUGAUUGGCCUCCUACACAGUUCUGGCUGCUUCUUCUUCUGUCACUGUUUUUCUGCACUGACCCCGGAGUAUCUGCAGUCACAAUAAAGCUGUUUGAAUUCUCGCAUUUGAGUGAAAUGUUAUAUUUCCCUGCAGGAAACGACAGAACACGCUGGGAUGAUCGUAAGACCGGCUUCUGUAGUCCAUCCUGUAGACAUUGUAGUUUCAGCAGUGCAGACAUGAUUAAGGAGUCCAGCGUAAAAGCAGUCUGCUUCUCCUUUCCUAAGUCCUUUUAAGUCUCUCCGUCACACCUUUCCUUCACUCCAUGGCCUUUUCCCACUGUGUGGAAACUGAUCUGGAAAAGGAGACAUGAGUUCAUGUCGGGGCAGCUGGAUCGACUCACAGAGAGAAACAUCAGUGCCACCUAGUGGUUGAUGGUGAAACUGCAGAACAACAGGCUCAGCAGCAGAGGCUUGUUUGUUUGGAGCUGCAGGCUGUGUUUCCUCCUGUGAGCAGCAGAGGGCAGCAUUUCACUAAACCACACAGCUUCAAGGCUUCACCUCUGAGACUGAGCAGAAACACGCUCUGCUUCCUGUUCGAGCUCUCUGUUUUUUCGUCUCACCCUCCCUUACUUCAUUUUUCAGGAGAGCCGACAAGGAAAAUGUCGGUCGAGUGAACCACGGGGUCGUCGAACUGAAACAGGCUCUCCUGCACACAGUCCUCAUUUAUACAGUUCUCUGCAAACCCGAACAUCACGGCUAACAGGAGGAUUUUCCUGUUCCAGCACAGCCAAACAUCGAAGAACCACUUACUGCUAAAGAGACUGACAGGGGAAGUGCGCACUACAUCCUUGGUUUCUUAACAUAGAGCUU
rnacentral:lncRNA from 1 species